GACGAACGCUGGCGGCGUGCUUAACACAUGCAAGUCGAGCGGAAAGGCCCUUCGGGGUCCUCGAGCGGCGAACGGGUGAGUAACACGUGAGUAACCUGCCCCAGACUUUGGGGUAACCCUCGGAAACGGGGGCUAAUACCGGAUACGACACAGCUUCGCAUGGGGUCUGUGUGGAAAGUUUUUCGGUUUGGGAUGGGCUCGCGGCCUAUCAGCUUGUUGGUGGGGUGAUGGCCUACCAAGGCGACGACGGGUAGCCGGCCUGAGAGGGCGACCGGCCACACUGGGACUGAGACACGGCCCAGACUCCUACGGGAGGCAGCAGUGGGGAAUAUUGCACAAUGGGCGGAAGCCUGAUGCAGCGACGCCGCGUGAGGGAUGACGGCCUUCGGGUUGUAAACCUCUUUCAGCAGGGACGAAGCGUAAGUGACGGUACCUGCAGAAGAAGCGCCGGCCAACUACGUG
rnacentral:rRNA from 1 species